rnacentral:rRNA from 1 species
GAUGAACGCUAGCGGCAGGCUUAACACAUGCAAGUCGAGGGGCAGCGUGGAGCAGCAAUGCUCUGACGGCGACCGGCGGAAGGGUGCGUAACACGUGAGCGACUUGCCCGUCACAGGGGGAUAACCGGCGGAAACGGCGACUAAUACCCCAUACGAUGUGAUGCUGCAUGGCAUUGCAUUGAAAGAUUCAUCGGUGGCGGAUAGGCUCGCGGGACAUUAGCUAGACGGCGGGGCAACGGCCCACCGUGGCGACGAUCAGUAGCCGACCUGAGAGGGUGACCGGCCACAUUGGGACUGAGACACGGCCCAAACUCCUACGGGAGGCAGCAGUGGGGAAUAUUGCACAAUGGGGGGAAACCCUGAUGCAGCAACGCCGCGUGAGUGAAGAAGUAUUUCGGUAUGUAAAGCUCUAUCAGCAGGGAGAAAAUGACGGUACCUGACUAAGAAGCCCCGGCUAACUACGUG